UUUUAUUUGAAUUAUGAAGCAGUGCAGAAUGAUACAUGAGAAAUGAUGCCUUUGGAAUCCAUUUGCAGCUCAUCUCCUCAGUAGGGAUGGAGAAGGGCCUGGACAGAGCUUUCUUCACAUAUAGCAAUGGAAAUUCACAAAUCCUGAUCUUUUGCCGCAUAUUUCUGCUUGUCUACUUGUACGUCUGGAAGCUAUUUCUUGAUCUUUCUAACUGACCAAUAUCAAAGCUGUGGCUUGAUUUGUUAUCG